rnacentral:lncRNA from 1 species
GCUCCUGCCUCAGCCAGGGGCUUACAUCUACAAAACAGGCUCACUGCCAUAUGAGUUGAAAAGGUGCUAGAUGUGCCUACAAGCAAAGGGUCUGAUCUACCUAACCCUAAACCACACAUGACUGACCAGGAAGAAAUGGGGAGCCACCAGAAUGGAGAUGUGCUCCAGGGGAUGCCCUCAGGAAGAACCACUGCUGACCUAGCACACCUCCUCCACUGCCUCAAUCAAGGGACGAGAUGUCUACCAUCCUAUCCGGGAAAAUUAACAAUAUAAUCAACAAAGGAAAACUCUGGAUUUUUUCAAUAUGAAAUUAAAUGUAUUUACCUACGUUUUACAUUUCCUAAAUGCCAAUGAAUAUUUACAACUGAAAAUGACAUCAGCAGUUAACGGGGUGAAAGCUGAAAAUUAUCUCCUGAACUGGAGGUCAUUAUGACACAGAGAGAACUGAUAAGCAAAUAGAGCUAGUAAAAGCUCCUUGUUUGAAUGUUUUGCUAAAAUGCUCAGGUACUGAAAUUGCUAAUACAAUUGCAGCUGUCAUAAUUAAGUUUCAGAUUUUAGUGUUCUGCUAAGAUGAAAGGUCACUAUUUUCACACCAUCUGCAGACUGAGGGAGACAAGGCAGCAACUCUCUACAGCCCACCUGCAUUUUGAGGCUCAAUAUCCAGCUCCUUGUAGCUGCACCACAAGUAACAGCAGCUCCCUCACAAAGAUAACGACACACAGCUGAAAGCUGCUGAAGGUUCGGAGGUGAAAAGCUCUGAGGGGAAAACCCAUGGUGGCCAGCAUGGAGCUGAGGUCCAGGGCUCUGCUCCUGAGGAAGGAGGGAGAGAAAAAAUGUGCUGGGUAGCUUGUGAACUGCGCUGACAGAAAUGGUGGUCAUGGUACAGUAAUCCAAACUGGGGCUACAAACUACUUUUUCUUUCUUAGAAGGGAGUCUUAAAGAUGAAGCAUGGUUCUGUACCGUGAUGGGAUUCAGCAGUCAGAGCUCCUGAAUACUUAGGAAAUGCUUGGUAUCGUUGCCUCCUUACAAAAUCCCAGUGCAGCAAUGAGUAUACCACUCAUCCACCUGUAAGGGAAGAUCUCUGCACUGUGCAUAACCCUCCCCUCAAGCACCGACAUACAAACUGCACCCCUGUACAGGCAGGGAGGGAGGUUCCUGGCAGGCAGCUUUCCCUGACAGCAGGCGAAGUCGCUCUCCUCGGGCAGGCAGUGCAAUAAUAACCAGGGCUCAGCCCUGUGCCACGCAGCUGGGACUGGGUCAAACCCUUUUUGUGAGAUGUGGGAGCCAGGAAUGCAGCUCUGUCUCCCUUAGCUAAGCUACAUCUUCAGCUAAGGCACGCACAGCAAAACCUUGCCACUGGCAUUGUCCCAAGUGUUUGUGACUGUAGGACAGAUACACAGAGCAAACCUAUGAAAUAAAAAUUAUGCCUGUUUUAUCCUGUUGUGUUUC